UCAGGACGAACGCUGGCGGCGUGCCUAAUACAUGCAAGUUGAGCGAUGAAGAUUGGUGCUUGCACCAAUUUGAAGAGCAGCGAACGGGUGAGUAACGCGUGGGGAAUCUGCCUUUGAGCGGGGGACAACAUUUGGAAACGAAUGCUAAUACCGCAUAAUAACUUUAAACAUAAGUUUUAAGUUUGAAAGAUGCAAUUGCAUCACUCAAAGAUGAUCCCGCGUUGUAUUAGCUAGUUGGUGAGGUAAAGGCUCACCAAGGCGAUGAUACAUAGCCGACCUGAGAGGGUGAUCGGCCACAUUGGGACUGAGACACGGCCCAAACUCCUACGGGAGGCAGCAGUAGGGAAUCUUCGGCAAUGGACGAAAGUCUGACCGAGCAACGCCGCGUGAGUGAAGAAGGUUUUCGGAUCGUAAAACUCUGUUGGUAGAGAAGAACGUUGGUGAGAGUGGAAAGCUCAUCAAGUGACGGUAACUACCCAGAAAGGGACGGCUAACUACGUGCCAGCAGCCGCGGUAAUACGUAGGUCCCGAGCGUUGUCCGGAUUUAUUGGGCGUAAAGCGAGCGCAGGUGGUUUAUUAAGUCUGGUGUAAAAGGCAGUGGCUCAACCAUUGUAUGCAUUGGAAACUGGUAGA
rnacentral:rRNA from 2 species